CACGUAGGGUGCGAGCGUUGUCCGGAAUUAUUGGGCGUAAAGAGCUCGUAGGCGGUGUGUCGCGUCGGCCGUGAAAACCUGCAGCUUAACUGUGGGCGUGCGGUCGAUACGGGCAUCACUGGAGUUCGGCAGGGGAGACUGGAAUUCCUGGUGUAGCGGUGAAAUGCGCAGAUAUCAGGAGGAAGACCAGUGGCGAAGGCGGGUCUCUGGACAGUUCCUGACGCUGAGGCGCGAAGGCCAGGGGAGCAAACGGG
rnacentral:rRNA from 1 species